rnacentral:rRNA from 1 species
CAGUCGCCGCGGGAAUACGUAGGUGGCAAGCGUUGUCCGGAAUUAUUGGGCGUAAAGGGCUCGCAGGCGGUUUCUUAAGUCUGAUGUGAAAGCCCCCGGCUCAACCGGGGAGGGUCAUUGGAAACUGGGAAACUUGAGUGCAGAAGAGGAGAGUGGAAUUCCACGUGUAGCGGUGAAAUGCGUAGAGAUGCGGAGGAACACCAGUGGCGAAGGCGACUCUCUGGUCUGUAACUGACGCUGAGGAGCGAAAGCGUGGGGAGCGAACAGGAUUAGAUACCCGCGUAGUCCCUGUCUCUUAUAC